rnacentral:rRNA from 1 species
GUGGGGAAUUUUGGACAAUGGGCGCAAGCCUGAUCCAGCAAUGCCGCGUGCAGGAAGAAGGCCUUCGGGUUGUAAACUGCUUUUGUACGGAACGAAACGGUUCUGGUUAAUACCCGGGGCUAAUGACGGUACCGUAAGAAUAAGCACCGGCUAACUACGUGCCAGCAGCCGCGGUAAUACGUAGGGUGCAAGCGUUAAUCGGAAUUACUGGGCGUAAAGCGUGCGCAGGCGGUUGUGUAAGACAGGCGUGAAAUCCCCGGGCUCAACCUGGGAAUUGCGCUUGUGACUGCAGUGCUGGAGUGCGGCAGAGGGGGAUGGAAUUCCGCGUGUAGCAGUGAAAUGCGUAGAUAUGCGGAGGAACACCGAUGGCGAAGGCAAUCCCCUGGGCCUGCACUGACGCUCAUGCACGAAAGCGUGGGGAGCAAACAGGAUUAGAAACCCCGGUAGUCC